rnacentral:SRP_RNA from 1 species
CGCGGGCCACGGGUAGGGUUGCCAAGCCGUCAAGGCUUGGCAACCAGAAGAACCACGUACACCCCCACAAGCCCCCGCUAACCCCCAUACCCGCCAAUGACCCCCGCCCCAUGGGGUCGGCGGUGACGGAGCCCCCUCUGGAGGGAGGGGGUUAACCGUCUUAACCGGGGGAACCCGGCCAGGCCCGGAAGGGAGCAACCUAACCCCGGCCGUCGACGUUCAUGGGUCACCGGGGCUGAGGUAGGGUAUGGAAGGGCUCUGGCGGGAUCGGCUGUGAGGGUGUGCGUGGGGCCGUGGCCCGCG